GUAGUUUGACGUCCUGGCUCGAAGACGACGCUGGCGGCAGGCUUAACACAUGCAAGUCGAGCGCCCCGCAAGGGGAGCGGCAGACGGGUGAGUAACGCGUGGGAAUCUACCCGUUUUCUACGGAAUAACGCAGGGAAACUUGUGCUAAUACCGUAUGUGUCCUUCGGGAGAAAGAUUUAUCGGGAAAGGAUGAGCCCGCGUUGGAUUAGCUAGUUGGUGGGGUAAAGGCCUACCAAGGCGACGAUCCAUAGCUGGUCUGAGAGGAUGAUCAGCCACAUUGGGACUGAGACACGACCCAAACUCCUACGGGAGGCAGCAGUGGGGAAUAUUGGACAAUGGGCGCAAGCCUGAUCCAGCCAUGCCGCGUGAGUGAUGAAGGCCCUAGGGUUGUAAAGCUCUUUCACCGGAGAAGAUAAUGACGGUAUCCGGAGAAGAAGCCCCGGCUAACUUCGUG
rnacentral:rRNA from 1 species